UGUUUCGGCUAGGGGGCCAUCCCGGCUUACCAACCCGAUGCAAACUGCGAAUACCGGAGAAUGUUAUCACGGGAGACACACGGCGGGUGCUAACGUCCGUCGUGAAGAGGGAAACAACCCAGACCGCCAGCUAAGGUCCCAAAGUCAUGGUUAAGUGGGAAACGAUGUGGGAAGGCCCAGACAGCCAGGAUGUUGGCUUAGAAGCAGCCAUCAUUUAAAGAAAGCGUAAUAGCUCACUGGUCGAGUCGGCCUGCGCGGAAGAUGUAACGGGGCUAAACCAUGCACCGAAGCUGCGGCAGCGACGCUGAUGCGUUGUUGGGUAGGGGAGCGUUCUGUAAGCCUGCGAAGGUGGCCUGUGAGGGUUGCUGGAGGUAUCAGAAGUGCGAAUGCUGACAUAAGUAACGAUAAAGCGGGUGAAAAGCCCGCUCGCCGGAAGACCAA
rnacentral:rRNA from 2 species